rnacentral:rRNA from 1 species
GACAGAGGGUGCAAACGUUGUUCGGAAUUACUGGGCGUAAAGCGCGUGUAGGCGGCUCUGCAAGUCGGGUGUGAAAUCCCUCGGCUUAACCGGGGAACUGCGUCUGAUACUGGAUGGCUAGAGAUUGGGAGAGGGAUGCGGAAUUCCAGGUGUAGCGGUGAAAUGCGUAGAUAUCUGGAGGAACACCGGUGGCGAAGGCGGCAUCCUGGACCAACACUGACGCUGAGGAGCGAAAGCCAGGGGAGCAAACGGG